GAGGGUGUAGCUCAGUGGUAGAGUGCAUGCUUAGCAUGCACCAGGUCCUGGGUUCAUGCCCCAGUACCUCCA
rnacentral:tRNA from 1 species